ACGGCUAGCUGCCCAGAAUUGCCGGGUGACAUUUUCGGUAGAGUGAAAAGCUGGAAGGAACAUGGCAGACGCAGCUGAAAAAUUCCAGUGGCCCCUAUAAAGCCGAUGUGUGGGUGCACUUCGGUUUUAAAAACAAACCUGGGAGCAUGGACUCGGAUAAAACCAAUGCAAUAUGCAAGCUUUGUCACGCUGCUGUAAAAUAUUCAGGUAACACAACCAACUUGCGAGCGCAACUUGUCAGACGCCAUGCAGUUAUAACGUUACAGCAGCAACAGAAACUUGUCGAUCACAGGCAGACUACACUGGAUAAUACCACUAACAAACUUCCAACUACCUCAGCUCGAGCUCGUAAAAUAACGGAGUCGUUGGUGCAUUUAAUUUGUCAUGAUUUGCGCCCCUAUUGUGUCGUUGAAAACACCGGCUUCAGGUAUAUUAACAUCAUGGAGCCGCGCUAUAUGAUCCCGACUCGCAAACACAUUACUGAGGUAGCUGUGCCCAGGAUGUAUAAAGAGGUGAAGCAAAUAGUAAACUCAUCUCUUGGCUCACUAGAAAGAGUGGCCCUUACGUGCGAUGGCUGGACAUCGAGAGCCACUGAAUCUUAUGUUACGAUCACUGCGCACCACAUCAAUGAGGACUGGGAACUGAUUUCUCAUGUUUUGCAGACGAGAGCAAUGCAUGAGAGCCAUACUGGCAGUAACAUCGCCGAGCUGUUGAAAGGCGCAUUAGAGGAAUGGGACAUAAAAAGCGAGGACCCCGCUAUAGUUACAGACAACGCAUCAAACAUGACCAGCGCAUCUAGCUGGUUUGCUACAUUUGAAAUGUUUCGCGCAUACCUUGAAUUUGGCUUCACAGCGCGCACUGCGGCUAAAACCAGUCGCCCGAUUGCUGGGAAGCGUGAGAAGAAUAACCAGCUUUUUCAGACGCAGCUCCACAGCCAGCUGUGUACUUGGAGAAAAACAAAAGCUGCUAAAUCUGCCUCAACACAAAUUGCUCACUUACAUCGUUACCAGAUGGAAUAGUGCUCAUGACAUGCUGCACCGCUUCUUAGAACUGCAGCCAGCCAUCCAUGCUGCCCUCCUCUCAGCUGAGGUGAGGAAGACAGAGAAGGAGAUCUGCACCCUCAGUGAGUCAGACAUAACAGCUGCUGAAGAAGUUGUCACUGCUAUGAAGCCCAUGAAGGUAGCUACACUUGUCAUGUCAGAGGAGACCACUCCAACACUAUCAGUUGUAGCACCACUCCUUGUCCAGCUGAUCCAUGAUCUACAAGACAGCCCAGCUGAUUCCAACUUGACAAAGGAAAUCAAAUCUGCCAUAUGCCAGGAUCUUAACAAGAGGUACUUGAACAAGGAGACUCUUUAUGUGGCCUCAGUUAUGGAUCUGAGGUUUAAGGCCCUGCCCUUCCUUUCAGAAGACCAACACUAGGACAUCUAUGCUAGAAUCACUGCAGAAGCUACAAGGAGCAAAGGGGCAUUACAGCAGAAUGAGACUGGAGUGGAGACAAGAGAGACAGAGAGCGACGUGAAUGUGGUGCCAGAAGAAGAUGAGGACAGCAAUCAAUGCCCUGUGCAAAAAGACAUCUCUGCAGCACCAUCCAAGAGAUAAAGGCAUUUUCUAGCUGACCUACUUGGUCAAACAUAUGCUGCAGGUGCUGCAAAGAAAUUGAAAACCGCAGAGGACUAGGCAAAGGAGAUGGCAAGAUACAAGGAGGAAGCUCCCCUGCCACUUGGUGCCAAUCCACUGGACUGGUGGAAAGGGCAUCAGAGCGAGUAUCCUCUCGUCACACAUCGCAAAGAGAUACCCGUGUAUCCCAGGGACUAGCAUCUCCUCGGAGAGAGUUCUCUCUACCACGGGGGAUAUUAUUACAGCUCAGAGGAGUGUACCCAGACCAUCUUUUUCAAAUUCUGUUCCUGAACAGAAAUCUGAAGUCAAAGCAGGCCUGCCAUUGUAUCCAUAUUUUUACUAAGUGUUCAUAUAGCAAAGUAUAAUGGACACAUGCCAAAAACAUUUGAGUUGGACUACGUUAUUUACAGUUUAUUUACAUCAUAUUGACUAUUUUAGUUUUAUUAAUUUUGUUUAUAAUAAUACUUAAUAUGCACUUAAUAUGUUUUACUCAUACAUUUCAGUUCAUUGUGUUCAGUGACAAUAAAGAGUACCUGAGCAUAUGCACUUUAUUUUCAUGUCUACGUUUAAGCUCAGUCCUCUACUAGCCCUACGCAAUCCUCAGUGAGUUCACUGUGUACUUUAUUUUCUUUUUUUCAAUAUCUAAUGCACUUUAUUUUCAUGUUUUCAAUUUCAGUGUGUGCACUGUUCAAGUGCAGGUUCAUUUUGUUAUGGCAGCUAAAAAAUAAAUUGGAAAGGAAAUUUUGAAUUAUAUCGUUUUGACUCAAUUUGUCUGCUGAUUUAUCAUUGUGAUGUAUUAAGACUGCCCAGAUCAUACACGGUAACUUGUAUUUUAGCUCUGUUUUUACAUUUUCACUGAACUGUGCAAUAUCACAAUAUGUAUCAUAUCGUCCUUGCCAAUACCCACCCCUACUCCAAACACUAACUUUAACAACGCAGCACAUGGUUGCUAGAAUACGAGCAGCCAGGCUGCAGCUGAGUAACACAUACUCACUGGGUUAAACUAAUCUCCAAAUAUACUUAGAUUAAACAACCAAAUGGAUUAGAAGUAAAAUGAACCAACAUACCUUUAACAAAAGUAGGAUGAAGCAAAAUUAGUACACAAUGUGAUUUUUCCUCUUAUCCCUGCAUGAAAACACACGCAGUUGUGACUUGAGGCACUAUAUAUAGCACGAUUAAAAAUGCUAUUUGUACUAAAGGUUAGCUAAAACACUCAUACAUCAUCAUUAUGCACUCACACAGCAUUUUGGAUGAUAUAAACACCAUUUUAACAGUGACUAAUUGUUAACAAAAUGGCAAAUGCACAAUACAUGAGAGAGUAGAGCAAACAUGGCUUACCCCAUAAACAUCCACCGUGUUUCUGAUAAAGGAAACGGGGGAGCAAUAUAAUGUCUAAAGGUGUGCCACUAAUUUAAGCUCCACCUACAACAAUCAGUGGGAACCAUUGAAAAAUGAACAUUAGAAUAUAAAAUAUUUCACGUAAUAUACAAACAAUUUUUGCUGAAGUUAACCCACAAAUAAAAUAUUUUCAUAAACACACUAAAUUAUACAAAACAAAAUUAAAUGCAUGAAACAUUUGGCUACAUACUGUACUCCCCUCUUAACUUCACAAAACUUGCCCUACUAUGUACUUGGCAGUUUGAAGGGGAGACACUGGACAUGCACUUGUCCUAUUAUGCAACAUAUGUAUUACCCAACCAUUAAGGGAAAAAGAAUGAAAGAAAGCUGACCAGACUCUCAAAUAUUCUUUUGCUAAAGGGGUGCCUUUCACACCACUCAACUAUGUGACUCAAAUGACUAAUUUACUUUAUACCUCGGAACAUAAUAUACUGGCCUUUGAAUAACUCAUAACCUAAAAUUUCUUAUGACAAUAAAGACUUUGUGAUAUCUCUGACUGCAUUGCGAGUUGUUUUCUGAGUCAUAUUUUGAAUUAGUCUAUUCACAGGCCUCACUAGCCUACCAACACGUGUUCGGACCAGUCACUGCUUGAAACACAUUAGGGGGAGCACUAGUUAUUGACAGCUUGCUGGUUGACCUUGAUCUCUCUUUAGCACUGGGUGCUUCAACAGUAGCACUAACAAAAUCUUGAGUCUAUUCGACUGAUCUGGGGACACCCACUCUCAGGCUCUUGGUUGCCCGGGCUUCCAGAUUCUCCAGAAUCUCUAUGUCUCUCCAACUCCCCUACAUCCAACAUUUCUUCUGAUGAGCCAUCAGAGGUAGGUAAAGAGGCCAUCCAACUGGCAGUACUUCUGGUCACAAUAGAGUCAUCCUCUGGUGCUGGGAUCUGCAUCAGAGUCUCAUCUAACUGUUCGCGACCUGACUCAGAGUCGCUGAAGGAUGAUUCCAUUUACUCCUCUACUUCCAGAAGCAAAAAAGUUGGCUUGCAGCAUAAGGUUCCUGUGUACCACCUUCUCUUGGCCAGUACUGGUGUUUCUUACACGGUAAGUGUGACAUCUGGGAUCUUUUGACACUACCAUAUAUGGCAAAGACUCCCAUUUGUCGGCCAAUUUCCUUUGUCCCCUUGCACCUUUAUUGGCUAGUAACACUUGGUCACCUUCUUCAAUAUCACAACCCUUUGUUCUUCAGCCUGCCGUUGUUGGCUUGCACUGGCAUUCACUUGAGCAAGGUUGAGAGCUUCCUUGAGGUCAUUCCUCAUUUUCGCUACAUAGCUGUCAUAAUCCGUGAUGUUAUCAUCCUUCCCAACACUGUGGAACAUUACGUCUACAGGCAGAUGAGGAACCCUCCCAAACAUCAGGUAAAAUGGUGCGUAAUCAGUGGACUCAUGGGCAGUGCAGUUGAGGCCAAUUCAGUUUAGCUCUCGGGGGUAAAGCUUGUAUCAUACUUCCCAGUGUGUGACUGAACCAUUCAGUAUGACCAUUUCCCAUAGGGUGGUAAGCCAUCAUUCUAGACUUCUCGACUCCUGCAAUUUGCAAAAACUCUUGAAUCAGAUGACUCUCGAAGUUCGCACCCUGAUCGGAAAGGAUCCUCUCUGGAAACCCAUAAAUGCAGAAGUAUCUAUACCACAGUUGACAAGCUACUUGCCUGGCUGUCUGAUCACGACAUACAAAAGCAUGGGCCAAUUUGGUAAAAUGGUUUGUAACCACCAAUACAUCCACACUCUUACCCUUGCAAUCUUCAGUGGACCAAAAGUCCAUACACACCAACUCCAGAGCUCUGGUUGUCUUGAUUCUCGAGUGGCACUCUUCCCUCUGGCUCAGGUGUCUUGCUAACAACGCAUCACUUGCAGCACUUCACAUUCUUGGAUAUCUUGCUCCAUGUCAGCCCAAAAGAACCUCUCUCUGGCCAAAUGAAGUGUUCUGCCCUGACCUUGAUGUACAGCUUAAUCAUGGAUUCCUUGCAGGGCCUGCUCACUCAAUGAGGCCGGGACAACAUACUGCCAAUGCUUCUUCCCGGUCAGCUGGUCUUUGGACACGCGGUAUAACACUCCAUCUAACAUCUUCAAUUUAUCCCACUGUAUAUUGGCAUUUCUUUCAUCCUCUCGAGUCUUGAUGGCCUUCUGCCAUGGGUAACAGGAAAGAACUUCAGCCAAAACAGGAUCUCCUGUCUGUUUAUCCUGAAGCUCCUACACUGUAAAUACUGGUAGUGCACUUUGACCGACAGGAACUAGGUUGUGCACAUCCUGAGCUAGCCACUGAUGCACUCUAUCCUUAGGCCCCACACUCCACUCUACAUGGCUUCCUAGUAUAGCCAGCACUUCACCCAUGGAAAGUGGGAGACACUUUGAUUCUUGACCAGAGAACGACGAUUCGACACUCUGGCACUUAGCACUGAUGCGGAAGGCAUGCUGAAAUACAUCUUCUUUGAAAUAGUUUGAUUCCUCCAGCAGAGCUCCAUCUGGCUCCAUCACCAAUCUCUGGCUAACACGACCAUGAACAAAAGGCUGUCGGCUCAUUGCAUCUGCCACUACAUUCUUGCUCCCAAGAAUGUACUGAAUACUGAAGUCAUAUGGUGCUAGCUUGGCGACCCACCUCUGCUCACACGCUUUAAGCUUUGGCUUAGUUAAGAUGUAGGUUAAAGGGUUGUUGUCUGUCCAAACAGUGAAAGAAUGUCUUUUUAGCCAAUGGCUGAAUUUUUCACAGACGGACCACUUCAGGGCCAGGAAUUCUAACCGGUGAGCAGAGUAAUUGCUUCGGGCACGUGUGAGGGCCUUGCUGGCGAAGGCAACAGGACAGGCUUUCAUCGCCAAGAUAAAUGGACGGCUGAAGUCCGGGUGUGCGAGCACCACAGAUUCCAGAAGGGCACACUUCAGUUGACUGAAGGAAUCACACUGUUCUUUCUUCCAAUCACAAGGGCUUAAUUUCUUGAAGGCAGGCAGCCUCUUUCCAUUAAUCCUUCGUCCUUUUGGUGCAGCGGUCAGUGUCAACAAGUGUUUAGCUAUACUGGAACAAUUCUGUAUGAAUCAUUGGUAAAACAUUACCAUGCCAAGGAAUGACUUUAUCUUUCUCUGACAUGGCGUGACUACAUCUUCCAUCAUAAGGACUGUUUCAGUCAUUGCUGCAAUGCCUCUGACUUUAUUGGGAUCAGCUGCUCUCCAGUUUCAUUGACCACAUGGCCUAGAAAAUGCACACUUCGUCAUAACAGGUGACACUUCUGUAAAGCUGGCACUAGGAUGUCUACACCCAAAAGGCUCUGUGAGAGCCAACGUCAUAAAAUUCUCAUACAGAAGAGCAUCUCCACCUGAGACAACACACCCAACUGAGCAAGGACCAUAAAACACAAAUCUCACUUACAUCUACUCCCUCUCUCACCUCAGGUCAAUUUAGGAUCACCAAAAACUAAGUUAUGACUUAUCCUGUUCAGUAAUGUAAAAGGUUUUCUGAUCAUACAUGUUUGGUAUCAUUCAAGAGGUCUCAGUGCAACUGGUAAAACGGUCUCAUUCCCUUCUGUCCACACUGAGAAGGCGUUUUUGUCCGCGAAAACAGAGCUUUUUUGAAAACGCACUCCAAAGUUAAUAAAUUUGAAAACGCCGUUUUCGCAUUGUAGUGUGGACUGUGAAAACAGAUGCUUUCGAAAACGAUGACGCAUUUUUAGUCAUGUGAUGCAGUCAUGUGACACAUUCAGUCCAAAACAAGAUGGUGGACGACGUUGACGACGUUGUAUCUCAGUUGUUUUGGCUACCCUCCAGUUUGAUUGCGUUGUUAAAGAUUAAUGUCAGUUUGUAUAUACUUCAGCUUACAUUUCUUCAAAGGAGACAGGAUGUUUACUCGCAGUUGUUGUUCAGCGGUGGAACACGAGGACAGUUGCGUUUCAUACCGUACAUUGCCACGAUGUUUCAAAGAGGAUUAAAUAAAUGCCUGACGGAAAUGACGCAUGUCGAAUCAUCUUACGUUUUACUCAUGCGCAGUACAGGGACGUAAGCGUUUUCAGACUUUUCAGUGUGGAUGAGCAACUUUUGGAAAAUGCUAGUGUGGACAGAGAGCAUUUUGAAACGAAAACCCCAUUUUCAAAUGUAUCCGGAUUAAUGUAAACAUAGCCUGAGUUACACAUACACACAGGUUAAACUAAUCUCCAAAUACACUGUAGUGUACGUUUACACAACAAGGAUGUACUAAAAGCAGAAAAGGUUUUCCUUUGCGUUUUUGAUAAGUAUCAUGUUCAGACGACAACGUUGUCAAAACGAUCCUCGUUCACACGGAUCCGCGAAAACGACUAAAAACGCUGUAUUAUGCAUGCCAGGCCAGUAGUUGACGAUGUCACAUUGUAAAGAAACACUACGCGCCUGCGCACAUAAGCAUUCUUCCACAGAGCGGUGAAUACAAACAAUGAAGAUGGCGAAAGCAUCGAGCUGGACGGACGAUGAGAUAGCUUUUUUUUUUACUACAAUUACUUUGCUGGAGAAGCGUCAAUAAACUCCAAAUCUUGAGCAGCACAAACACAGUCCUGUAGUCCACCACUGUAAUUUUGAAUGUCUUGCGUGUUGUUUUGAAGUACUCGCGUGCAUGCUUAUAGACUGAACUCUCAAGAUUAUUCAAUAAACUCUGCUCAUUUUUACCAUCACUUCGUCUCCUGACUUCUUCUGUAGUAAAUGGAUUAAUUGUUGAUUAUUGUUAUUUGCACAGACACCAGUAUUCAUAUUGAUAAUUAUACAUCUCAAAUUGAUGCCUAUCAGUCCAUCAUUCUUUAUAUAACACGUAAUAAUUGUGCACAUGAUGUCAUCGUUUUCACAAAUUCGCAUUUUUGUAUGUUUACACGGAGACGAUAACGGCAUCGUUUUCAAAAACUUGCACUUUGAAACCCGUUUUCAAAAGUUUGCGUUUUCAGGCCCCAAAACGCCGUUGUCAUGUAAAUGAACAGCCAAAAGGCAUAAAAAGUUUUCCGUUUUUAGAUGAAAACAUUGUCGUGUAAACGGCCCCUUUGUGAGUGUUUAUUGGGGGAAUGAAAUACACUUUUUCAAUGUGGAGGAAAAUAUGUUUAUUGAAUUAUUUGACUGGAACAGCUAAACUAGCAAUUUGGAAAACAAGAAAGAACAAAGGUCAAUAGAUCCUGAUAUGAUGUAUAGACGUUUGGUAGAGGCAAGACUGAAAAUUGAAUUUGCUUAUUAUAGACUUACAAAUAAUGUGGUGUUCUUUUGUGAUGUAUGGUGUAUUA